CUGUCGUCAGCUCGUGUUGUGAAAUGUUGGGUUAAGUCCCGCAACGAGCGCAACCCUUAUCCUUUGUUGCCAGCGGUUAGGCCGGGAACUCAAAGGAGACUGCCAGUGAUAAACUGGAGGAAGGUGGGGAUGACGUCAAGUCAUCAUGGCCCUUACGACCCGAGGCCACACGUGCUACAAUGGCAUAUACAAGAGCGACCUCGCGAGAGCAAGCGGACCUCAUAAAGUAUGUCGUAGUCCGGAUUGAGUCUGCAACUCGACUCCAUGAAGUCGGAAUCGCUAGUAAUCGUAGAUCAGAAUGCUACGGUGAAUACGUUCCCGGGCCUUACACACCGCCCGUCACACCAUGGGAGUGGGUUGCAAAAGAAGUGGUAGCAACCUUCGGAGGGCGCUUACCACUUUGUGAUUCAUGACUGGGGUGAAGUCGUAACAAGGUAACCGUAGGGGAACCUGCGGUUGGAUCACCUCCUUA
rnacentral:rRNA from 1 species